rnacentral:lncRNA from 12 species
UGACUUGCUGCUGCUUCUUCUUGCCACCCUCUGUGACAGGUACCCGUUUGGUCAUUUGGGGCUGCAAGGUCUGGCAGCUUCAAGUGGAGCCAAGCAAUUGAUCACCAGAGAAAGACUUGAGGUGAAAAGGGUUCAGAGAGCUUUUUCUACCCAUUGACCAAAGUGCUGGGUUUCCUUUUAGUCACCGCUAAGCUCCCUUAAAGCUAUCCAAGGGCAUUGAAAGUACACUUAAGGAUGAAAACAGGGAUCUGAUCAAUACGAGGAAAAACAAAGCUGCCCUCCACAGCCCUAAACAAACAUCGGAGAGACCUUGUCUAUAGCAUGCUAGAGUAUGCGAAUGCUCCACGACAGGAUGCUAAUAAGUGUCAGCAACAAUGUGCCAUGCAUAAUAGGGGAAGGCUGAAGGCUUCAUAGAUAAGAUAGGGGGUCAUUUAUACCCCAAUGUGGCCUGUUCAAAGGCUGACAUGUUCAAGGAUUAUGCCACUUUUAGCACUCCAGUGCUUAGGGCAUUGUAAUUAUCAGAUGCACCUCAGCCCAUCCAUGCCUCUUCACAGUGAAUGAAUCACCAGUGCCAGUGCUUUAAGAUCUGUCAACCAGGAUGGAUCACUGGGCUGUAUAUCAGCCAUCUGCCUGCGGAUGCCGAGGCCAUUUUUACAGCAGCUAAUAGAUGAGAAAUGCACCCCGUGGACAGAGCAGAACACCUUGUCAAAAGCCUCCCCCAUCAUCUCUCCCUCAUUUCACUGGAAUCAGCUGCAGGUGUAUUGUCGGCGAGCAGGUUCACUGAAGGAUACUACAGAUACGCCUUCCAGGGAGUCAUUGCAUUACCUUUAGCUAUUUUCCUUCCAGGAAAAGUGGUACCCAAUAUACUUUUUUCUGUUGUUGUUAUUUGUUUUUCAUGAUCUCUGUUUUCUGUUCUCUGCUAUGUCAUCCUCUCUCUUUCUCUGGCUCUCUGAGCCUCAGCUGUCGGCAGUGUUGCUGUUUGAAGUUCCUCUCUUCUUGGUUGUUGAUGCUGAAAGUGGGUAUCCAGUGGGAGAUGGAAAGGAGAAAGAACACUGCCUCCUUUAUAACUCUUGUAGUUAUGUAUCCC